CGGGAUGUAGCGCAGCACGGUUAGCGCGCUUCGUUCGGGACGAAGAGGCCGCCGGUUCAAAUCCGGCCAUCCCGACCA
rnacentral:tRNA from 1 species